GUACUGCAGGCGGAAGUGCCGCACCUGUUGAAGGGGUUUGUUGACACUUGUUGCUGCACCUGAAGCUGAGAAACCACCUGCGGAGCUUCUGGAUAAGUUACCGAGCUGUUCGUCCGAAGUCAGGGGAUUAACAAUAAGUUUAUGGAUAAAUUAAAGAAGGUUUUGAGCGGGCAGGAUGACGGAAACAACGACGGGAGCGGGAUACUGGAGAGAGCCAAUCAGGCGUCGACGCUGGCCUGGGGGACGAGGAUGAAGGGCUUCGUGGCGUGCUUCGUUCUGGGCGUCGUGUGCUCCAUCCUGGGCACCUGUCUGCUGUGGAUCCCACGUGUUGGUCUUGCUGUGUUCGCUGUCCUCUACAGUGUGGGAAACAUCUGCGCUCUGGCCAGCACCAUGUUCCUGAUUGGUCCGUGUCGGCAGCUGAAGACGAUGUGCGCUAAAGAGAGAGCGUUCGCCACCGUCAUCAUGAUGGUGUGUCUGGCGUUGACGCUUUGUGCAGCUUUCUGGUGGAAGAAUAACGGCCUCGCUCUCAUCUUCUGUGUCCUCCAGUUUGUGGCGUUCACCUGGUACGGCCUCUCCUACAUCCCCUUCGCCAGGGACGCCGUCAUUAAACUAUGUUCAAUCUGCGUCUGAGGCCGCCUGGCCUCCGACCAAUCAGGACGCAGGACUGUGAGGUGUGUAUCCAAUCAGGACGCAGGACUGUGAGGUGUGUAUCCAAUCAGGACGCAGGACUGUGAGGUGUGUAUCCAAUCAGGACGCAGGACUGUGAGGUGUGUAUCCAAUCAGGACGCAGGACUGUGAGGUGUGUAUCCAAUCAGGACGCAGGACUGUGAGGUGUGUAUCCAAUCAGGACGCAGGACUGUGAGGUGUGUAUCCAAUCAGGACGCAGGACUGUGAGGUGUGUAUCCAAUCAGCAGCUGACCGAAGGCCUUAAACAUUUCAACCUCCGAAACCUGCCAAUCCUCCAAUCAGGUGUCUUAAAACCCACAACAGAGACUACAUGGACACUUUGUUGUUGUUGUUGUUUGUUGAAUG